GGAUGGAUGUCUGAGUGGUUGAAAGAGUCGGUCUUGAAAACCGAAGUAUUGAUAGGAAUACCGGGGGUUCGAAUCCCUCUCCAUCCG
rfam:Setaria italica strain Yugu1 chromosome I, whole genome shotgun sequence.